GACGAACGCUGGCGGCGUGCUUAACACAUGCAAGUCGAACGGAAAGGCCCUGCUUUUGUGGGGUGCUCGAGUGGCGAACGGGUGAGUAACACGUGAGUAACCUGCCCUUGACUUUGGGAUAACUUCAGGAAACUGGGGCUAAUACCGGAUAGGAGCUCCUGCUGCAUGGUGGGGGUUGGAAAGUUUCGGCGGUUGGGGAUGGACUCGCGGCUUAUCAGCUUGUUGGUGGGGUAGUGGCUUACCAAGGCGUUGACGGGUAGCCGGCCUGAGAGGGUGACCGGCCACAGUGGGACUGAGAUACGGCCCAUACUCAUACGGGAGGCAGCAGUGGGGAAUAGUGCACAAUGGGCGGAAGCCUGAUGCAGCAACGCCGCGUGCGGGAUGACUGCCUUCGGGUUGUAAACCGCUUUGGCCUGUGACGAAGCGUGAGUGACGGUAAUGGGUAAAGAAGCACCGGCUAACUACGUG
rnacentral:rRNA from 1 species